GCUGAUGGCUGAUCCUGCUGCAUACAAGGAUUACUGGAGAGGUGUGCUGUUCAGCUUUCGGAUCCUGGGAGAAGCCCCUGGAGACACAACUAAGCAGACAAGCAGAGACAGAUUCCAUGCUUCAGCAAACCACACAGGUGCAAAUCUCAGGUCUUCACAGGAGGUAUCCUCAGAGGUCUGCCAUUUAGUAAUCUGGCCAACCAUAGCCUGAGAUUUUUCUGCCCAUAAUUCACUGAGUGGACAUAUGAAGAAAAUCCAGAAUAAGAUGGUUCCAGGCCAGAAAAAUCUGUUGGGCAAAGUGGCCUUAGUUGAAGAUGAAAACGUGAAGAGAAGAUACAUGAGUCAGAGAAUCUCCCUGUCAGGACAUCAUUCAAAGGACCAUGUAAUACUGAGUAAUAGAGGACACUUAAUAAAUGUUUCUGAUGGAUCCUCUACAUACCCUACACCAUGUAAAUAAUAUUGACUAUAACUCCUUGAUUUCUAUGUAAACUCAAUCAUACAACUAACUCCCUUAUAAC
rnacentral:lncRNA from 1 species